AUCCCAUUAUAUGGAUAUUUUUUCAGCAAUUCCUUGAACCUUUCCCAUGCUUCAAAUACAGUCUCCACAUCUAAUUGUGUGAAAUUACUAAUUUCCUUUUGCAUCCU